rnacentral:rRNA from 1 species
CCUGGUUGAUUCUGCCUAUAAACAUAUGCUUGUCUCAAAGAUUAAGCCAUGCAUGUCUACUUAUAAGCAACUUUGUACUGUGAAACUGCGAAUGGCUCAUUAAAUCAGUUAUAGUUUAUUUGAUGGUUUUUGCUACAUGGAUAACUGUGGUAAUUCUAGAGCUAAUACAUGCAUUCAAGCCCCGACUUCUGGAAGGGGUGUAUUUAUUAGAUAAAAAUCAACUUUGUUGGUGAAUCAUAAUAACUUCUCGGACCGCAUGGCCUCGUGCUGGCGGUGCUUCAUUCAAAUAUCUGCCCUAUCAACUGUCGAUGGUAGGAUAGAGGCCUACCAUGGUUGCAACGGGUAACGGGGAAUAAGGGUUCGAUUCCGGAGAGGGAGCCUGAGAAACGGCUACCACAUCCAAGGAAGGCAGCAGGCGCGCAAAUUACCCAAUCCCAACACGGGGAGGUAGUGACAAUAUGUAACAAUAUACGGCCUUAUACGUCGUAUAAUUGGAAUGAGUACAAUUUAAAUCCCUUAACGAGGAACAAUUGGAGGGCAAGUCUGGUGCCAGCAGCCGCGGUAAUUCCAGCUCCAAUAGCGUAUAUUAAAGUUGUUGCAGUUAAAAAGCUCGUAGUUGGACCUUGGACCUGGACAGGCGGUCCGCCUCACGGCGAGUACUGUCUUGCUGGGUCUUUCCUCUUGGUGAUCUGUUGUUUCGGCAGCAGGGAACCAGGACCUUUACUUUGAAAAAAUUAGAGUGUUCAAAGCAGGCUCGACGCCGGAAUAUAUUAGCAUGGAAUAAUAAAAUAGGACGUGCGGUUCUAUUUUGUUGGUUUUUGGAUCGCCGUAAUGAUUAAUAGGACAGUCGGGGGCAUUAGUACUCACAUG